rnacentral:rRNA from 1 species
ACAAGCGGUGGAGCAUGUGGUUUAAUUCGAUGAUACGCGAGGAACCUUACCUGGGCUCAAAUGUAUGUUGACGUAUUCUGAAAGGGAUACUUCUUCGGACAAUAUACAAGGUGCUGCAUGGUUGUCGUCAGCUCGUGCCGUGAGGUGUCGGGUUAAGUCCCAUAACGAGCGCAACCCCUAUCAUUAGUUGCCAUCAGGUCAAGCUGGGGACUCUAAUGAAACUGCCUACGCAAGUAGUGAGGAAGUGGGGAUGACGUCAAAUCAGCACGGCCCUUACGUCCAGGGCUACACACGUGCUACAAUGGCCGGUACAAAGGGCAGCUACCUGGUGACAGGAUGCUAAUCUCAAAAGCCGGUCUCAGUUCGGAUCGGAGUCUGCAACCCGACUCCGUGAAGCUAGAAUCGCUAGUAAUCGCGCAUCAGCCAUGGCGCGGUGAAUACGUUCCCGGGCCUU